AUGAACGUUGCGCUCAUGUUGCGAUUGGUCUGGUGGAUCAUGAGCGGCAAGGGUGGCCUGUGGCUUCAGCUCGUUCAGGCUAAAUACCUUAGAGGUGGGCCUCUCUUGGCAUGCUCCCGCUCGGGAGGGUCCCAGUUUUGGAGAUACAUACAAAGGAUCAAGAAGGAGAUUCAUGUAGGAGUCUCCUUCUCUGUAGGAAAUGGGACUGGGACCCAAUUUUGGCUGGACCUCUGGUUGGGUACCGAGCCUCUUAGGGUGAGCUUUCUUGGCCUAUUCUUAAUCUGCGCGAAACCGCUAGUACUAGUCUUUGCGGCUUCUCGAUCUGGACAGUGGGAUCUAUGGUUCCCCCGUACUUUUGGGCAAUCAGAGAAUGGUGAUUGGACUAGAUUGUAGACGACCCUCCCGCCGAUGCUUCCGUGCUAUCCGGACUCCGUAGCUUGGCGGCUCUCGCAGUCGGGUGAUUUUUCGGUGAACUUAACACACCAGGCAUUAUGCCAGUCACCCAUUAUCGUCUGCCUUCCCCCCUUGUGGAAAGCACCUUUACCUUUGAAGAUUGAGAUUUUUGUGUGGCAACUUCUACGAGACCGCCUCCCUUCGAAGACCGAAGUACUUAAGCGGUAA
rnacentral:rRNA from 1 species